rnacentral:rRNA from 1 species
UACCUGCAGCUCGAGUGGUAACCGCUAUUAUUGGGCCUAAAGCGUCCGUAGCCGGUUUGGUAAAUAUCUGGGUAAAUCGUGAGGCUUAACUUCACGAAUUUCGGAUAGACUGCCAGACUUGGGAUCGGGGGAGGUCAGAGGUACUCCAGGGGUAGCGGUGAAAUGUUGUAAUCCUUGGAGGACCACCGGUAGCGAAGGCGUCUGACUAGAACGAGUCCGACGGUGAGGGACGAAGCCCUGGGGCGCAAACCGGAUUAGAUACCCGGGUAGUCCAGGGUGUAAACAAUGUGGGCUUUGCAUUGGAGGUUCCACGUGGGCGUCCAGUGCAGAAGAGAAGUUGUUAAGCCCACCGCCUGGGAAGUACGGUCGCAAGGCUGAAACUUAAAGGAAUUGGCGGGGAGCACAGCAACGGGAGGAGCGUGCGGUUU